AUGUAGUACUGAGUCUGUCGUG
rnacentral:miRNA from 1 species